rnacentral:rRNA from 1 species
UACGUAGGGUCCGAGCGUUGUCCGGAUUUACUGGGCGUAAAGCGCGCGCAGGCGGCCCGCUAGGUGUCACGUGAAAGCCCCGGGCUCAACUCGGGAGGGUCGUGGCAAACCGGCGGGCUUGAGGCCGGUAGAGGUGGGUGGAACUCCUGGUGGAGUGGUGAAAUGCGUAGAGAUCAGGAAGAACACCCGUGGCGAAGGCGGCCCACUGGGCCGGUACUGACGCUGAGGCGCGAAGGCGUGGGGAGCGAACGGG